GAGGUAAGGGCUCACCAAGGCGACGAUCCCUAGCUGGUCUGAGAGGAUGAUCAGCCACACUGGAACUGAGACACGGUCCAGACUCCUACGGGAGGCAGCAGUGGGGAAUAUUGCACAAUGGGCGCAAGCCUGAUGCAGCCAUGCCGCGUGUGUGAAGAAGGCCUUCGGGUUGUAAAGCACUUUCAGUCGUGAGGAAGGUAGUGUAGUUAAUAGCUGCAUUAUUUGACGUUAGCGACAGAAGAAGC
rnacentral:rRNA from 1 species